rnacentral:rRNA from 1 species
GUGGGGAAUUUUGGACAAUGGGCGCAAGCCUGAUCCAGCAAUGCCGCGUGCAGGAAGAAGGCCUUCGGGUUGUAAACUGCUUUUGUACGGAACGAAAAGGCUCUGGUUAAUACCUGGGGCUCAUGACGGUACCGUAAGAAUAAGCACCGGCUAACUACGUGCCAGCAGCCGCGGUAAUACGUAGGGUGCAAGCGUUAAUCGGAAUUACUGGGCGUAAAGCGUGCGCAGGCGGUGCUGUAAGACAGGCGUGAAAUCCCCGGGCUCAACCUGGGAAUUGCGCUUGUGACUGCAGUGCUGGAGUGCGGCAGAGGGGGAUGGAAUUCCGCGUGUAGCAGUGAAAUGCGUAGAUAUGCGGAGGAACACCGAUGGCGAAGGCAAUCCCCUGGGCCUGCACUGACGCUCAUGCACGAAAGCGUGGGGAGCAAACAGGAUUAGAUACCCUAGUAGUCC